rnacentral:tRNA from 1 species
AUGCCGGUAGCUCAGUGGCAAGAGCGCCUGUCUGAAAAACAGGAGGACACCAGUUCGAUUCUGGUCCGGCAUG